CUACGGAGGGUGCAAGCGUUACUCGGAAUCACUGGGCGUAAAGCGCGCGCAGGCGGCUAUUUAAGUUGGAUGUGAAAGCCUACGGCUCAACCGUAGAACUGCAUCCAAAACUAUUUAGCUAGAGUGUGGGAGAGGAAGAUGGAAUUAGUUGUGUAGAGGUAAAAUCCGUAGAGAUAACUAGGAAUACCAAAAGCGAAGGCAAUCUUCUGGAACACUACUGACGCUGAGGCGCGAAAGCGUGGGGAGCAAACGGGAUUAGAAACCCCAGUAGUCC
rnacentral:rRNA from 1 species